GACGAACGCUGGCGGCGUGCUUAACACAUGCAAGUCGAACGGAAACGCACUGCUUUUGUGGGGUGCUCGAGUGGCGAACGGGUGAGUAACACGUGAGUAACCUGCCCUUGACUUUGGGAUAACUUCAGGAAACUGGGGCUAAUCCCGGAUAGGAGCUCCUGCUGCAUGGUGGGGGUGGGAAAGUUUCGGCGGUUGGGGAUGGACUCGCGGCUUAUCAGCUUGUUGGUGGGGUAGUGGCUUACCAAGGCUUUGACGGAUAGCCGGCCUGAGAGGGUGGACGGGCACAUUGGGACUGAGGUACGGAGCAGACUGCAACGGGGGGCAGAGGUGGGGAGUAUUGCACAAUGGGCGGAAGCCUGAUGCAGCAACGCCGCGUGCGGGAUGACGGCCUUCGGGUUGUGAACCGCUUUCGCCUGUGACGAAGCGUGAGUGACGGUAAUGGGUAAAGAAGCACCGGCUAACUACGUG
rnacentral:rRNA from 1 species